UUGUCUCUCUCUCUGUUACCCUCCAACCUUAACCGAGCACAGUCGAUGAUGUAAACUAAUUCAGUCUUUUAUUCCGAUUCCCCGUAACCCGUACACAACAAUAAUAAGUGCGUGUGUGUGUGCUGUCAUGCUGUAUAAAUUCUUGUGCAAAUAUCUCAGAUGUCUGCUUCUAAGCUGUUUUAUUGAAAAGUCUUGGUAAAUCGAUGCAAACUCUGUUCGGAAUGAAUUACAAAAAAACUGUUUGAAAAAGUAACUAAAACUCUUUAAAACCUUUUAAUAAAAAUUUGAAAAAAAUCAAUAAAACAUUAUUACUCUACAAAAUUGAUGUGUUACAGAUAUGACCCAGAAGCCUGGAUUCUCCCCAGACCACAAGUAAAUGUAAGAAUUCUAUACAUGUACUUUGUUUUUAAAUCUGAAUAAAUAAUUAACAGUU